UACGGAGGGGGCUAGCGUUGUUCGGAAUUACUGGGCGUAAAGCGCACGUAGGCGGCUUUGUAAGUUAGAGGUGAAAGCCCAGGGCUUAACCCUGGAAUUGCCUUUAAGACUGCAUCGCUAGAAUCGUGGAGAGGUGAGUGGAAUUCCGAGUGUAGAGGUGAAAUUCGUAGAUAUUCGGAAGAAACACCAGUGGCGAAGGCGACUCACUGGACACGGUAUUGACGCUGAGGUGCGAAAAGCGUGGGGAGC
rnacentral:rRNA from 1 species